CUAGAACAAAAUAUGCUUAGAUCAUAUAAACUGAUCUAAGAAAAUAUGUGAAUUUCUAGUUUCUUUGUUUAUUCAAACAUUACAUCCAUAGAAAAGCUAUGGCAAGACCUAUGGGUAUGGAUGGAGAUGACACAUUACUAAUUAAAAUAGAACCAAAACAAGAAGAAGAAAUACAUUCCUUUCUUCAAGGACACAUUUCAGUAAGUAACGAAGUUUUGGUGACGAUAAAGGACGAAGUAACCCUUAGUACACCGUGUUCUGAACCUCUUUAUAAUGAAGAAAUACGGGAAUCUGACUUGCAACAUAACGUUUCAACGCAGCGUAAUAAAUGUUUUAAAUGUGCCGAUUGUGAUUAUGGGACAAAUGUUAGAAAGUAUUUCAGAUACCAUCUUUUAAAACAUAAAGUUUCUAAAGAUUUUAAAUGUGCUUAUUGUGAUUAUGAGUCAAAUUAUAAAUCAUAUCUUAAACGACACCUUUUAAAACAUAGAGUUUCUAAAGAUUUUAAGUGUACCACUUGUGGUUAUGGGACAAAUAAUAAGCGCCUCUACAAACGACAUCUUUUAAAACACAAAGUUUCUAAAGAUUUUAAAUGUGCUGAUUGUGAUUAUGGAACAAAUAUUAAAAAAGACUUCAAACGACAUCUUUUAAAACACAAAGUUUCUAAAGAUUUUAAAUGUGCUAAUUGUGAUUAUGGCACAAAUGAUAAAUGCGUUUGCAAAGGACAUCUUUUGACGCAUAAAGUUUCGAAGGAUCUUAAACGUACUGAUUUAAUUGUGACUAUGAGACAAAUUAUAAAUCGUAUUUUAAACAAUGCCUCUUAAAACAUAACAUAAAAGACAAUUAUGUGAUCAAAAGUAAAAAUUAUCUUAAAUAGCAUCUUUUAAAACAAAAAGGGGUCUAAACUUUUUAGAAUCACAAAUAAUAAAUUUGAGCAACAUCUUUUGAGAUACAUUAGGGUCUCCUGACCGUAUCUCAGUGAAAGGAACAAAUUUAAUGACCACAUUAGGUACGUUAGAAAAAUAGUUGUGUUGUUUUCAGCCUUUGUUUCUCACUAGGCUCAUCUGGCUGUGGUUUAGGACCUUUACUCUGAUUGGAUCCAGAAUUGGCAUUCUGCUAAUUAUCUACUAUAAUAGUAAUAAUUUUAUUAUUUAUUUUACUCCAUAGACAUUAAAAAUUGUUCAAUUAUAAAUAAUUUCACAACAUGAUAAUAAAAUACAUGCAGACCAGUCAUAAAACAUACCAGAUACUGUGAA